UAGGAUGGAUGGAGUCACACAAGCUGUUGAAAAUCUUAAGAAAGAAUGGGGCCAAGCAGUUUCACAGCUUGACGAGAACAUUACUGCAAUUGAAUCAUGUGGAAAAAUAGGGAAAGGGACAGAGGAAGCAAAUUCUCUUCCAAGGUUGAAUGGUUCUGCACAGGAUGCUCUGCAGUUGCUGAAGUCACUGCAGUUCUAGCUUGAUCUUCUAGCACAGCAGCUUCCCACUUUUGAUGAGGUGCAGUCUGGUCAAGCAACCUUGAAGUCAUGGGAUGAACAAUACAAGAAGCUUCGUAUUAGCCUGAGGAAUGCUAACUUA